rnacentral:rRNA from 1 species
AAGAUUCAUCGCUGAUAGAUAGGCAUGCGUUCCAUUAGGCAGUUGCGGGGGUAACGGCCCACCAAACCGACGAUGGAUAGGGGUUCUGAGAGGAAGGUCCCCCACAUUGGUACUGAGACACGGACCAAACUCCUACGGGAGGCAGCAGUGAGGAAUAUUGGUCAAUGGGCGUAAGCCUGAACCAGCCAAGUCGCGUGAGGGAUGAAGGUUCUAUGGAUCGUAAACCUCUUUUAUAAGGGAAUAAAGUGCGGGACGUGUCCCGUUUUGUAUGUACCUUAUGAAUAAGGAUCGGCUAACUCCGUGCCAGCAGCCGCGGUAAUACGGAGGAUCCGAGCGUUAUCCGGAUUUAUUGGGUUUAAAGGGUGCGUAGGCGGCCUUUUAAGUCAGCGGUGAAAGUCUGUGGCUCAACCAUAGAAUUGCCGUUGAAACUGGGAGGCUUGAGUAUGUUUGAGGCAGGCGGAAUGCGUGGUGUAGCGGUGAAAUGCUUAGAUAUCACGCAGAACCCCGAUUGCGAAGGCAGCCUGCCAAGCCAUGACUGACGCUGAUGCACGAAAGCGUGGGGAUCAAACAGGAUUAGAUACCCUGGUAGUCCACGCAGUAAACGAUGAUCACUAGCUGUUUGCGAUACA